AUUUUCAUUAGAUGAUCUCUCUCCCCUUCAAUGGGGAAUAACGACCAUGACUGCAGUCCUUUCUUAUUUUCCUCUCCACCUUAUGCUCCAUUGUCCUCUCCUUCUUAUUCACUGUCAUCGUCUCCUCCAUUAUCUCCAAGUCCAGAUUCACCUUUUGAAUCUUCCUCAAGUCUUCCCCUACAUACUACCCAAUCUUCUUCAAGUUCUUUCCAUCCUUCUGCUGCUAAUCUUGGGCCAUGCGCUGCCUGCAUAGUCCAUGGUCAGAUAUGCACUGACAAGUGUUAUGUAGCUUCCUACAUACCACCCACUGAUUCACACAAAUUCACCGUCGUUAAUGGAAUAUUUGGAACUCCCAAUAUCGUCAGCUUCUUGCAGAAUAACAAUUCAUCGUCAUAUGUUCCACUGUUAUUAUUGUUGAGAGACACAACUACUCAAGAUGGAGAACUGAAGCAGACAAGUACUCAAGAGCAUCUGAAAGUCUUAUCUGCUGCUUCUAAUGGGGACCGAGCUUUUUAUAAUUGGAGAAAACAUGGGCAAAAGCAAGUAAAAGGAAGUGAGUAUCCGCGAAGUUACUACAAGUGCACACAUCCAAAUUGUCCAGUGAAAAAGAAGGUUGAAAGAUCAUUGGCUGGGCAGAUUGCAGAAAUUGUCUACAAGGGUGAACACAACCAUUCAAAGCCUCAGCCUCCUAAACGCAACUCAUCAGGGAUGCAAGGGCUAGGAAUUGUGUCCGAUGGCAAUGGUCAAGAUAUGAGCACCCCAUUAUCGAACAAUCACCUGAAUGAUAGAAAUGAAGGUUCUGAAGGUAGAGUUGAAGAUCAGAAUGAAACAGGAUUGCCUGUUCAUUCAACUUAUCAGGGUAAAGCUCCUCCAUCCCAUGAUCCUGUUGGAAUUGGAUCGAUUAAUGCUGGUGUUGUAACUUCUGACAACUCUUGUGGGCUUAGUGGGGAAUGUGAUGAAGGAAGUAAGGGAAUGGAUGGAGAUGAUGAUGAGCCUAAAGCUAAAAGGAGGUAAGAGAUGAGGCAUUAUAGAUAGUUUGACAAUCUGUGGCCUUCUCCACAUUCGCAUAUUGUUCAGAAAAGUGAUAAUUAUCUGAUCCUUCAUCAGUUGACAUUGAAUGCUAUUGAUAUUUCUUGAAUGAUGAUCUUCAUUAUGACUUUAUUGAUACUCUUUCAGGAAAAAUGAUAAUCAAUCAAAUGAAGCAGGCGUAUCGGGCAAAGGUGCACAAGCACAAGAGCCCUGUCUAUUGGUGCAAAGUUCUAAUGAAACUGAGAUUGUGGGUGAUGGUUUUCGCUGGAGAAAAUAUGGGCAGAAGGUUGUGAAAGGAAAUCCAUAUCCCAGAAGUUACUAUCGAUGCACGGGUCUAAAAUGCAAUGUCCGCAAGUAUGUGGAGAGAGUAUCAGAUGAUCCAGGAGCUUUUAUUACAACAUAUGAGGGGAAACAUAACCAUGAGAUGCCUGUCAGGGGUACAAAUUCGGUAUCUGAACCCAAUUCACGGGUUCCUAUUACAAGAAACAAGGCAUGAUCUCAAGUGUUGAAGGAGGCUAUUUGCUACUUAAUGGUUUCUAUAACCAAAAGAGUCUGAACAGAAACGAGUUCAUAGCUUCAGAAGCUAAAUAAUUAGGAGAAGCUGUAAAGCCUGACAUAUGACGAUGUUCUGAGGCAUAUUUCCAUAUCCUUGUCCUGUGAAAUCAAUAGGCAGGCACUUCUUGGUGAAGACAGUUUUGUGUUUGGUAAUUCACAUUAUUGCAGCCUGUGUUUAGCUUUAUUAUUUAGGAACAAAAUUUAAUUUUUUUUCUUUGAUUUCCAAAUAUUUUUUUAAUUAAGCAUAAUAAUGAAGUUUUAUGACUUAUCUUGGAUAAUCAAUUUGUAAUAUGCAUGCAGUUCCAAUUCCUA
rnacentral:misc_RNA from 1 species